UACGGAGGGAGCUAGCGUUGUUCGGAAUUACUGGGCGUAAAGCGCACGUAGGCGGCUUUGUAAGUUAGGGGUGAAAGCCCGGAGCUCAACUCCGGAAUUGCCUUUAAGACUGCAUCGCUAGAAUCAUGGAGAGGUGAGUGGAAUUCCGAGUGUAGAGGUGAAAUUCGUAGAUAUUCGGAAGAACACCAGUGGCGAAGGCGACUCACUGGACAUGUAUUGACGCUGAGGUGCGAAAGCGUGGGGAGCAAACAGG
rnacentral:rRNA from 1 species